CCUACGGGUGGCAGCAGUGAGGAAUAUUGGUCAAUGGACGAGAGUCUGAACCAGCCAAGUAGCGUGAAGGAUGACUGCCCUAUGUGUUGUAAACUUCUUUUAUAUGGGAAUAAAAUGUUCCACGUGUGGGAUUUUGUAUGUACCAUAUGAAUAAGGAUCGGCUAACUCCGUGCCAGCAGCCGCGGUAAUACGGAGGAUCCGAGCGUUAUCCGGAUUUAUUGGGUUUAAAGGGAGCGUAGGUGGAUUGUUAAGUCAGUUGUGAAAGUUUGCGGCUCAACCGUAAAAUUGCAGUUGAAACUGGCAGUCUUGAGUACAGUAGAGGUGGGCGGAAUUCGUGGUGUAGCGGUGAAAUGCUUAGAGAUCACGAAGAACUCCGAUUGCGAAGGCAGUUCACUGGACUGCAACUGACACUGAGGCUCGAAAGUGUGGGUAUCAAACAGGAUUAGAUACCCCAGUAGUC
rnacentral:rRNA from 1 species